rnacentral:rRNA from 1 species
CUUUACAAUGCGGGAAACCGUGAUAAGGGACACCGAGUGCUAGCAUCAUAUGCUAGCUGUCCAGGCGUGUAAACUACGCCUGUUAGCAAGGGCCGGGCAAGACCGGUGCCAGCCGCCGCGGUAACACCGGCGGCUCGAGUGGUAACCGUUAUUAUUGGGUCUAAAGGGUCUGUAGCCGGCCGGAUAAGUCUCUUGAGAAAUCCAGCAGCUCAACUGUUGGGCUUUCAGGAGAUACUGUCCGGCUCGAGGCCGGGAGAGGUGAGAGGUACUUCAAGGGGUAGGGGUGAAAUCUUGUAAUCCUUGAAGGACCACCAGUGGCGAAGGCGUCUCACCAGAACGGACCUGACGGCAAGGGACGAAAGCUAGGGGC